rnacentral:misc_RNA from 1 species
AACGCACAUUGCGCUCUCUGGUACUCCGGAGAGCAUGCCCGUUUCAGAAUCAAUAAAAACCUCACCAAGCUCAUUGCUCUCAAGCAUUGAGCAUGGCUGGAUCUGGAUUUUUGCGUUUGCAAUUAUCUUAAAGUGAUUGUUUGUGCACCAAUUGAAAGUAUCUUUUGGUUGUUCAAGUGCAACAGAUUUAUCUAUUUCGCUUUGGCAACUGAUUGACGCCUUUGAUGCUCAGGCUUCUAACAACUGAGGAGUUCAAAUCGGAAUGAUUUGGAUCUCCCAAAACCUUGAUCUGAAAUCGGGCAAGAAAACCCGCUGAACUUAA